CUGGUCUUGAACUCCCAACCUCAAGUGAUCCACCCACCUCAGCCUCCCAAAGUGCUGGGAUUACAAGUGUGAGCCACCGCGCCCGGCCAGCAGUGGUCUUAAGCCACCAGCAAAGCCAUCUCCAACUCCUUCAGACCCUUCAGCAAAAGGCCAAAUGGCACUGGAUCCCCUCUGGGGUGGGGCUUUGUGAGGGCAGCUGUCGGCAUCAGCUCCCUGCCAAUACCUGCAGCCCUGCUGACAGUCUCGCUCCAAGUUACUUCCAGAGUCUUCAAGAGUGCCAACUGGGACCAGGACCCCAGACCACAGCCCCCCACACCGUCCUGGACCUGGAUUCUGACUGUGGUUCCACUGUACCCCUCACCUUAAUCUCUGGUUCUAACCAGACCUGAGCCUAGACUUCCACUUUUUCCCUUACCCCUGUGAGGGCCUGGGAACACUAGGUGGGCAGGGUUUGAGCCCACAGGACCUGCACACAAACUUCCCCACCUCUUGGACUUGGGGACAGGAUCUGUGCCUCAACCCAGACCAGCUUUGUAGGGAUAUGUUCCAAGAACAGAGAAGAGUCUUAUGGGGAAGGGGGAGGAAGGGAAGUAUGAAUAUUUACCUCUGACCAAUAAUAGAGGUGCCCUGGUCCCCAAAGAAAUUGACUCCCGAAUUCCCUCCAAGCCUUACCCAUAUAGCUUUUGUUUGUUUGUUUGUUUUCAGACAAGGUCUUGUUCUGUCCAGUGCCGUGGCGUGACCACAGCUCAUGACAACUUUGAUUUCCCCGGCCCAAGCGAGCCUCUCAUUCAGCCUCCUGAGUGGCUGGGACCACAGACGCCACACACAGCUAAUUUUUAUGUAUUCGUUUUUAUUUUUUUGCAGAGACAGGGUCUCCCUAUGUUGCCCAAGCUGGUCUUGAACUCCUGGGCUCAAGUGAUCCUCCUGCUUCAGCCUCCCAAAGUGCUAGGAUUAUAGCCACCGCACCUCGUCUUGAAAUAGCCUUUUAAAUGUUCACCUCAGCUUGCCUCACAGUGGUAAAAAUAAGCAUUUUUUUGUUUUGUAGGAUCAGGGAGCUUCCAAGGCAUUUGAUACCUUUUUGAUGGGAAGAAGGGCUCUGAGGAGCUCCAAGAUACCCCAACCUCCAGGCCCUUCAUUAGGGGGUAGUUGGGUUUCUGUUUGGCCUUUCCCCCUGGGCCCCAUAGGCUUAAACUACCCCCACCCCCACCUCCGCCUCCUACCUCAGCUGGGAGCACUGUCUUCCAUGGGGCUUCCACUUCUCUCCUCAACCUGGGGAAGACCACAGGGCAGUGCCUGCCUCAGGACCUGCCUUCCCCAAAAGCUGGCUUCUUGCUCCAAGGAGAGAGCAUUGACCCACCUGCCAGAGUCUUGCCUUUUGCCCAAAGGAGCCUGGUCUUCAGGGCUGCAUAGGAUGCAAGUGCCUUCUCUGCUUCUCACCGUGGGUGGCACUAAUUUCCUCCUUAACCAGAACUUUGUUCCAGCCACUGACCCAUUCUAACUCUUCCCCCUCUGACUCUCCUGCGCAGGGUCUGUUCCUGGUUUCCCAGAUGCAUAAAGGAAGACAUAUCCCUCCCCUGGGCAGCAAGGCUACAAUGGGAGGGAGGGAGAACAUGGGAGCAUGUGAAUAAAAUGGCAUUAAAUACUGAACCAGGGAGUCCAGCCUCUGCUGUUGCUGC
rnacentral:lncRNA from 1 species